CNCUUAUUGGCUCAGCCAAGGUGCAGUCUGC
rnacentral:piRNA from 1 species